rnacentral:rRNA from 1 species
UACGUAGGCAGCAAGCGUUGUUCGGAGUUACUGGGCGUAAAGGGUGCGUAGGCGGCCUUGUAAGUAUGGUGUGAAAUCUCCCGGCUUAACUGGGAGGGUGCGCUAUUAACUGCAGGGCUAGAGUGCGGGAGAGGAAAGUGGAAUUCCUGGUGUAGCGGUGAAAUGCGUAGAUAUCAGGAGGAACACCGGUGGUGUAAACGGCUUUCUGGACCGUAACUGACGCUGAGGCACGAAAGCGUGGGUAGCAAACAGG